rnacentral:rRNA from 1 species
UACGUAGGGUGCGAGCGUUGUCCGGAAUUACUGGGCGUAAAGAGCUCGUAGGUGGUUUGUCGCGUUGUCCGUGAAAACUCACAGCUUAACUGUGGGCGUGCGGGCGAUACGGGCAGACUGGAGUACUGCAGGGGAGACUGGAAUUCCUGGUGUAGCGGUGAAAUGCGCAGAUAUCAGGAGGAACACCCGUGGCGAAAGCGGCUCUCUGGGACGGUACUGACGCUGAGACGCGAAAGCGUGGGGAGCAAACAGG